rnacentral:lncRNA from 1 species
AUGACUUUAUCAUCAUUCCCUGAUUCCAUGAGCCCGGAAGAUCCUUAUUUUGCAGUUAUUCAGGCACGAACUUUUGUUUCAGACAGUUCGGGACUCAUUGGGACAUCCAGUCCGACCCUCAAAUGCUUACUACCUCAGCAGCCUCCUCCAUUGCCAGCAAAGCCGGUCGCUUUUCGCCAGACAUCUGGACCAGUCGUAGUCGCUUCGCCAACAAGUGACACAUCCCCCGAAGAAAACGACGAGCAGGACGACGUCGUAUCCGUGAUUCAAGCACACACCGAUUCCAAACCAUCCCCACUGGACACCAGCCGCUCCGAUGCAAAUCUCAUCAACAGUCUUGCGCAGUCAGUUGUUACAUCCUCAAAUCCAGAAAAUGGCAACUCCAUAGCUAACAUCAUCGAAAGAUUCAAUCAAACCACAAAAACGUCAAAUUUGUCUGCACCAGGAUCUCCAGCAACGGUCGCCAGGGGUAUAAACUACGGCCAGCCACCUAAGUUACCGCCUAGAAAUAACAUUUCAACCCUGGGGAACACCACUGUUGUCAACUCCGUCACAUCUAGCAGCAAUCUGUUCGCCAAUUCUCCCAGCAAUUACCUUAAAGAUAAAAAUAUCUUGAGUAGUGCUAAUAACUUGCACACCACUAACGGAAACAGCUCGUCGAUUAAUGAACUACCAGAGCGGAACGGACUGAGUAAUGGGACAAAAUCGGGUAGAGAAAACAACCCCUUCUUGUGUGAUCCGAAACCCCCGCCAAUUGCUGCACGUAACAUAUUGUCGGAAGGCAGCUCCGACAUUCUUCAAAACAAUGUAUUCUCAAACUCAAUUUUCCAGCGAGAGAACAACAUAUCGGGAGGAGCAACAUCGAACGGAGCACGCUUGUUCAGCUACUCGCCGGCUAUUAGCUCGGCUGCUGACACUGCGACAAACCACGAUGCCUCGUAUAGUUACACGAACGUGUUCGCUAAAACGAAUCCUUUCCAAACGGAGAACAUGCUGCGGAUUAAUGUAACAUCGUCACUGGAUAUUUCUAGUGGGAACUUGCCAACGAGACUGAGUUCGCAGCAUUCACCGAUCUCACCUGGUCAAAGAGACGUAGAAACACCAAGUUCAUCCACAGGGACGGAAGAGGACUCGAGAAGAGAACGAGGCGUAGAUGCUGAUCAAGAGAGCAGCGAAGAAGAUCUCAAAUGA